rnacentral:rRNA from 1 species
GACGAACGCUGGCGGCGUGCUUAACACAUGCAAGUCGAACGGAAAGGCCCUGCUUUUGUGGGGUGCUCGAGUGGCGAACGGGUGAGUAACACGUGAGUAACCUGCCCUUGACUUUGGGAUAACUUCAGGAAACUGGGGCUAAUACCGGAUAGGAGCUCCUGCUGCAUGGUGGGGGUUGGAAAGUUUCGGCGGUUGGGGAUGGACUCGCGGCUUAUCAGCUUGUUGGUGGGGUAGUGGCUUACCAAGGCUUUGACGGGUAGCCGGCCUGAGAGGGUGAACGGCCACAUUGGGACUGAGAUACGGACCAGAAUACAACGGGAGGCAGCAGUGGGGAAUAUUGCACAAUGGGAGGAAGCCUGAUGCAGCAACGCGGCGUGCGGGAUGACGGCCUUCGGGUUGUAAACCGAUUUCGCAUGUGACGAAGCGUGAGUGACGGUAAUGGGUAAAGAAGCACCGGCUAACUACGUG